rnacentral:rRNA from 1 species
UACGAAGGGGGCUAGCGUUGUUCGGAAUCACUGGGCGUAAAGGGCGCGUAGGCGGCUUUAUAAGUCGGGGGUGAAAGCCUGUGGCUCAACCACAGAAUUGCCUUCGAUACUGUAGAGCUUGAGACCGGAAGAGGUAAGUGGAAUUCCCGGUGUAGCGGUGAAAUGCGCAGAUAUCGGGAGGAACACCAAUUGCGAAGGCAGCUUGCUGGGACGGUACUGACGCUGAGGCGCGAAAGCGUGGGGAGCAAACAGG